AGGGAAGAACAAGUACCGUUCGAAUAGGGCGGUACCUUGACGGUACCUAACCAGAAAGCCACGGCUAACUACGUGCCAGCAGCCGCGGUAAUACGUAGGUGGCAAGCGUUGUCCGGAAUUAUUGGGCGUAAAGCGCGCGCAGGCGGUUUCUUAAGUCUGAUGUGAAAGCCCCCGGCUCAACCGGGGAGGGUCAUUGGAAACUGGGGAACUUGAGUGCAGAAGAGGAGAGUGGAAUUCCACGUGUAGCGGUGAAAUGCGUAGAGAUGUGGAGGAACACCAGUGGCGAAGGCGACUCUCUGGUCUGUAACUGACGCUGAGGCGCGAAAGCGUGGGGAGCGAACAGGAUUAGAUACCCUGGUAGUCCACGCCGUAAACGAUGAGUGCUAAGUGUUAGAGGGUUUCCGCCCUUUAGUGCUGCAGCAAACGCAUUAAGCACUCCGCCUGGGGAGUACRGUCGCAAGACUGAAACUCAAAGGAAUUGACGGGGGCC
rnacentral:rRNA from 1 species